rnacentral:ncRNA from 1 species
UAAAUGUUUGAUUCUGGCUUAUAAUCUUUGUUAUAUUAUCAAGAUCACAUGAAAUUAAUAUAAGCGGGUAAAAAAUUAAUUUUAUAUUAAUAUUAGUAGUGAUAUAAGUAAAAUUAUAAUUAUUUAUAUUCUCAGUGUGGAUUUUUAGCUAAGUAUAUGGAAGUAUGAGCUAGUGAAUAAUAAUAUUAAUUAAAUCUGAUAAAAUACUUGUGCCAGCAUUCGCGGUUAGACUUGGGGAUUAAGUAAAGAAAUUAUUAUUAAGUUACUUGUAAAGUAUAGUUAUAUUAUUUUAAAUAAUAAUAGGUGAAAUUGUUGUUAUUAUGAAAGUUUGAGUGUAUUUUAAGGAAGCUAAUAAGCUUUAAAGAUAAACUAGGAUUAGAUACCCUAUUAUAUUGAAGUUUAAUAAAUAAAUAUUAAAUUAUUAGUAGGUAUAGCUUAAAAUUUAAAGAAUUUGGCGGUAAUUUAGUCUUGUCAGAGGAACCUGUUUAAAUUAAUCGAUACACCUCGUAAUAUCUUGCUUGUUUUUAGUUUGUAUACCAUCAUUAUUAGAUGAUUUCUAAAGAAUAAAUCAUUAAAAUUAUAUUGUUAAAAAAAUUAGAUCAAGGUGCAGCUUAUAAAUAAGUUUAAAUGGGUUACAAUAAAAUUUAUUUAAAUGGAAAGGAUUAGUAAGGUGAGUUUAGGAAGGUGGAUUUGAUAGUAAUACAAGUUUAAUAAGCUUGUAAGAUAAAAGCUCUAAAUUAUGUACAUAUCGCCCGUCGCUUUCAUUAAUUAAUGAGAUAAGUCGUAACAUAGUAGAUGUACUGGAAAGUGUAUCUAGAAUUAU